CCUACGGGAGGCAGCAGUGAGGAAUCUUGGUCAAUGGACGAGAGUCUGAACCAGCCAAGUCGCGUGAAGGAUGACUGCCCUAUGGGUUGUAAACUUCUUUUAUAUGGGAAUAAAAUGUUCCACGUGUGGGAUUUUGUAUGUACCAUAUGAAUAAGGAUCGGCUAACUCCGUGCCAGCAGCCGCGGUAAUACGGAGGAGCCGAGCGUUAUCCGGAUUUAUUGGGUUUAAAGGGAGCGUAGGUGGAUUGUUAAGUCAGUUGUGAAAGUUUGCGGCUCAACCGUAAAAUUGCAGUUGAAACUGGCAGUCUUGAGUACAGGAGAGGUGAGCGGAAUUCGUGGUGUAGCAGUGAAAUGCUUAGAUAUCACGAAGAACUCUGAUUGCGAAGGCAGGUCACUGGACUGCAACUGACACUGAGGCUCGAAAGUGUGGGGAGCGAACAGGAUUAGAUACCCCUGUAGUC
rnacentral:rRNA from 1 species